CAGUCGCCGCGGGAACACGGAGGGUGCAAGCGUUAAUCGGAAUUACUGGGCGUAAAGCGUGCGUAGGCGGUUCGUUAAGUCUGUUGUGAAAGCCCCGGGCUCAACCUGGGAAUGGCAAUGGAUACUGGCGAGCUAGAGUGUGUCAGAGGAUGGUGGAAUUCCCGGUGUAGCGGUGAAAUGCGUAGAGAUCGGGAGGAACAUCAGUGGCGAAGGCGGCCAUCUGGGACAACACUGACGCUGAGGCACGAAAGCGUGGGGAGCAAACAGGAUUAGAUACCCCUGUAGUCCCUGUCUCUUAUAA
rnacentral:rRNA from 1 species